GAGGAAAAGAAACUAACAAGGAUUCCCCUAGUAACUGCGAGUGAAGCGGGAAAAGCUCAAAUUUAAAAUCUGGCGGUCUUUGGCUGUCCGAGUUGUAAUCUAGAGAAGUGUUGCCCGCGCUGGACCGUGUACAAGUCUCCUGGAAUGGAGCGUCAUAGAGGGUGAGAAUCCCGUCUCUGACACGGACUCCCAGGGCUUUGUGGUACGCUCUCAAAGAGUCGAGUUGUUUGGGAAUGCAGCUCAAAAUGGGUGGUAAAUUCCAUCUAAAGCUAAAUAUUGGCGAGAGACCGAUAGCGAACAAGUACCGUGAGGGAAAGAUGAAAAGAACUUUGGAAAGAGAGUUAAACAGUACGUGAAAUUGCUGAAAGGGAAACGCUUGAAGUCAGUCACGUUGGCUGGGAAUCAGCCUCGCUCUUUUGCGUGGUGUACUUUCUGGUUGAUGGGUCAGCAUCAAUUUUGACCGCUGGAAAAAGGCUUGAGGAAUGUGGCAGCUUCGGCUGUGUUAUAGCUUCAUGUCACAUACAGCGGUUGGGAUUGAGGAACUCAGCACGCCGCAAGGCCGGGUCUUUGACCACGUUCGUGCUUAGGAUGCUGGCAUAAUGGCUUUAAGCGACCCGUCUUGAAACACGGACCAAGGAGUCUAACAUGCCUGCGAGUGUUUGGGU
rnacentral:rRNA from 1 species